AGUGAACGCUGGCGGUAGGCCUAACACAUGCAAGUCGAAUGGCAGCACAGUAAGAGCUUGCUCUUACGGGUGGCGAGUGGCGGACGGGUGAGGAAUACAUCGGAAUCUACUUUUUCGUGGGGGAUAACGUAGGGAAACUUACGCUAAUACCGCAUACGACCUACGGGUGAAAGCAGGGGAUCUUCGGACCUUGCGCGAUUGAAUGAGCCGAUGUCGGAUUAGCUAGUUGGCGGGGUAAAGGCCCACCAAGGCGACGAUCCGUAGCUGGUCUGAGAGGAUGAUCAGCCACACUGGAACUGAGACACGGUCCAGACUCCUACGGGAGGCAGCAGUGGGGAAUAUUGGACAAUGGGCGCAAGCCUGAUCCAGCCAUACCGCGUGGGUGAAGAAGGCCUUCGGGUUGUAAAGCCCUUUUGUUGGGAAAGAAAAGCAGCAGGUUAAUAACCCGCUGUUCUGACGGUACCCAAAGAAUAAGCACCGGCUAACUUCGUG
rnacentral:rRNA from 1 species